rnacentral:rRNA from 1 species
UUUGAGUGUUAAUUAUUUUUCUAGGUAGUAUUAGUUAAGUUCUUGAAACCUAAAGAAUUUGGCGGUAUUUUAUUCCGAUCAGAGGAAUCUGCUCCGUUAUCGAUAAUCCGCGUUGUACCUUACUUAGUUUACUUUGUUUGUAUACCGCCGUAUAUUGAUUAUCAUUUUAGUGUUUAAAUUUUCUUGAUCCUUAAUUUGGUUAUAUUUCAGGUCAAGGUGCAGCUUAUGGCUAAGUGUGAAGUGGAUUACAUUAAUUUUUUGUUUUUGGAUUGUGUUUUGUUAAUUAUAUGCAUGAAAUUGGAUUUGAUUGUAAUGUGUUGGUGAAGAUUGUUUUCAUGAUAAUUGGUUCUAAGAUAUGU